rnacentral:rRNA from 1 species
AGUUUGAUCCUGGCUCAGGAUGAACGCUGGCGGCGUGCUUAACACAUGCAAGUCGAACGGAACUGUCAUUUUUGAAGCAAUUAGCUUGCUAAGGGUGGAAAUGUUGGCAGUUUAGUGGCGGACGGGUGAGUGACACGUGGGUAACCUGCCCAAGAGAUUGGGAUAACACCUGGAAACAGAUGCUAAUACCGGAUAACAACACUAGACGCAUGUCUAGAGUUUGAAAGAUGGUUCUGCUAUCACUCUUGGAUGGACCUGCGGUGCAUUACCUAGUUGGUAAGGUAACGGCUUGCCAAGGCAAUGAUGCAUAGCCGAGUUGAGAGACAGAUCGGCCACAUUGGGACUGAGACACGGCCCAAACUCCUACGGGAGGCAGCAGUAGGGAAUCUUCCACAAUGGACGAAAGUCUGAUGGAGCAACGCCGCGUGAGUGAAGAAGGGUUUCGGCUCGUAAAGCUCUGUUGGUAGUGAAGAAAGAUAGAGGUAGUAACUGGCCUUUAUUUGACGGUAAUUACUUAGAAAGUCACGGCUAACUACGUGCCAGCAGCCGCGGUAAUACGUAGGUGGCAAGCGUUGUCCGGAUUUAUUGGGCGUAAAGCGAGUGCAGGCGGUUCAAUAAGUCUGAUGUGAAAGCCUUCGGCUCAACCGGAGAAUUGCAUCAGAAACUGUUGAACUUGAGUGCAGAAGAGGAGAGUGGAACUCCAUGUGUAGCGGUGGAAUGCGUAGAUAUAUGGAAGAACACCAGUGGCGAAGGCGGCUCUCUGGUCUGCAACUGACGCUGAGGCUCGAAAGCAUGGGUAGCGAACAGGAUUAGAUACCCUGGUAGUCCAUGCCGUAAACGAUGAGUGCU